CGACUCUCGGCAACGGAUAUCUCGGCUCUCGCAUCGAUGAAGAACGUAGCGAAAUGCGAUACUUGGUGUGAAUUGCAGAAUCCCGUGAACCAUCGAGUCUUUGAACGCAAGUUGCGCCCGAAGCCGUAUGGCCGAGGGCACGUCUGCCUGGGUGUCACG
rnacentral:rRNA from 1 species